ensembl:misc_RNA Metazoa_SRP Metazoan signal recognition particle RNA
GCCAGACGUGGUGGCGCAUGCCUGUAAUCCCAGCUACUUGGGAGGCUGAAACAGGAGAAUUGCUUGAACCCAGGAGGCAGAGGUUGCAGUGAGCUGAGAUUGCGCCACUGCACUCCAGCCUGGGUGACAGAGCAAGACUCUGUCUCAA